AUACAUGGCGGCAGCUAUAAUGCAGUCGAGCGAACAGACGAGGAGCUUGCUCCUUUGACGUUAGCGGCGGACGGGUGAGUAACACGUGGGUAACCUACCUAUAAGACUGGGAUAACUUCGGGAAACCGGAGCUAAUACCGGAUAAUAUUUCGAACCGCAUGGUUCGAUAGUGAAAGAUGGCUCUGCUAUCACUUAUAGAUGGACCUGCGCCGUAUUAGCUAGUUGGUAAGGUAACGGCUUACCAAGGCAACGAUACGUAGCCGACCUGAGAGGGUGAUCGGCCACACUGGAACUGAGACACGGUCCAGACUCCUACGGGAGGCAGCAGUAGGGAAUCUUCCGCAAUGGGCGAAAGCCUGACGGAGCAACGCCGCGUGAGUGAUGAAGGUCUUCGGAUCGCAAAAAUCUGUCAUUAGUGAAGAACACACGUCAAAC
rnacentral:rRNA from 1 species